rnacentral:lncRNA from 1 species
CCCCCAAAGGUAGAUGAAAUAAAACACUCAAGAUUGCUAAAAAUAGCCCAAGCCAUUUUAGAAAUAUUAAAAAGUGGAGAUUACAACUUCCAAGGUAUAUUACAGUGCAAAUAGAUAUGGCAUUGAUAUUUUUGUAGCUUGAUAACACAUGAGAUAUACCCAUGAAGACAGCGAGACGUGAUCUAAAUGUUUUAGUAUUUAGCCUAUUUAAGACAAAAGUCCAAAAAACACUUUUCUUUAGAGGGAGUUGGGUGACUUCAAAGCCCAAACUUAAAAAUUAAGAAAGGGUGACAAAACUCAAAAGUUAUAGCUAAGAGAUAAUUUAAAUGGCUUUACAGUCUUAAAUUAUGAAAAAAUAUAUGUUUCAAGAAUGAAAAUAAUUUGAGAUAUCAUAAAAUACGAAAUAAAAGCUUUUAUUUAAAAAAAAAAGAAGAAAUGAAAGCUAAAUGAUUUUAAGACAAAUUAUAUAAAUAAGAUAAAUAAUUAACUAAGAUAACAUCUUUUUAUCCAACGAUCUUCCUAAAAGAGAUUGAGAAUUAUCUCCCACUCUUAAAUUGAGAAGGAGAGUGAGUAAAUAUCUCCUACAUACUAGAAAUGGCCUUCUAGAGGGCUCUAGCAAUAAGUUAAAAUACUAACUUUCGCAUGCCAACCAUUUUAUUGCAGAUUGAACUUAUUUUUAACCACCAUGUGAUACAAAGAGUUAGAUUUAGAGAAAACCACAAUAACUACUUAGUUAAUAAUAACAAGUUUUUACAAUAUUAAUUCCUAAUAUCUGAAGCCUCCUUCCACUUUGGGUAAACAAUGCACCUUCUAAUUAACUAAGUAAUCUCCAUAAUUUUUAUUUGAACUCAACCAAAAGAAAUUCUCCGUCACCCUCUCUAAAUUUUUUACAACACCCUUAGGAUAAACAAAGAAAAACAAUAAAGCGAAGUACUAGAGAAACACACUUGGACAAAAGUAACUCUACCAUGCAUAGAGAACAAAAAUCUUUUUAACUCUCCAACUUAGAGAUCUUAUGACAAAUAAAUCAUCAAAUUUCAAAAAGAAACCACCUGGGGAUCAACCCCCCCAAAUUAAGGAACUUUUUGCAGCGCCCUUGGAUAACAUGCGUAUAAAUAUGGAUUUUGAUGAGAGAUGAUGUAAAUAGGUAGAAGCUUGUGUCACCAUUGCAUCUUUUAUAGUUAUGGUUAAUGGUGGUUCAUCAUCAUUUUAUUAAGUAUCUAGAGGACUUAGACAAGGAGACCCUUUAUCUCUCAUUCUUUUCAUUGUGACCAUGGAAGCAUUGAAUAAAAUAUUGAUUAGAGCCUGAGAGAUAUAUCUUUCAAGAGGACUUAAAGUGGGAGGAGGUGAUAAUACUAAGGAAGUAAUUCAUUUAUUUUUACCAGAUUAUGCCACAAUAUUUUAUGAAAAAGACAAGAAAACCAUGUUCAAUCUCAGGUAUAUAUUGAUGAGUUUUCAUACGGUGUUGGGUCUUACCAUUAAUCUCACUUAAUCAUAGAUGGUUAGAUUCAGAGACGAGAGAGAUAGAGAUAGCUUGAUAAGAGUAAUGGGUUGUAAGGUAGUCAAAUUUCAAAUCAAGUACUUAGGCUACUAUUGAGUGCCAACUUUAAAAAGGUAGAGACAUGGGAUCUUGUGGCAAUAAAAUUUAAAAAUAAGUUGAUUGGAUGGACAAGAACUCUCUUAUCAAAGGUUCAGAAACAUAUAAUCAAAAGCACACUGGGUAAUUUACCCAUUUAUUAUGUCUCUUCUGACUAUGUCGGUUAGUGUGGCCAAGAAAUUAAAGAAUAUACAAUAUAGAUUCCUUUGGGGUAAUUCGAAGGACAGAAAUAAAUUUUAUUUAAUUGUCUAAAAAGAGAUUAAGAAGCCAUUUUCCAAUUGAGGCCUGAGAUUAUAAUCUCUAGUAGAGAUGAAUGGUACACUACAGGGAAAGUGGCUUUGAAGAUUUAUAAAGGAAUAAUGAAUGUUACAAAGAAAGGUGAUAUAAGCAAAAUUUGGUACAACCAUGAGAGGUUGGUAUGCGGGUGUUAUGACGAGACCAAAUAGUAAAAGUUUGUGGAAAAAAUUUGCAUGGAUCACGACAAAUUUUAGGAAUGCAUUAAAUGAUUAGUUGGUAAGGGGGAUAUAGUUAGAUUGUGGCAAGACAAGGUAGAUCCAUGAGAGACUAAUAUCCUCAAAUCUUUGUCAAUGCACAACAAAAAGACAUCUUAGUUAGUGAUGCUUUUAGAGACUUUGGGGGAGGAGAGAAGGUGUGGCAAAUUACUAUGAUGGGAAAUCUCGAUGAUUGGGAAACUUCAUAACAUCUCUUAUGUGCUUGGAUGUUAGUAACAAUUGUCUAGCGUGGUUUUUGACUAAGAAUGAGGUUUUUUCGGUGAAAUCUUAUUAUAAGUUUUUGAUAAACGUGAAGAUAAUGGCAUUGAAUUCUUGGUUAGAUAAAUUUAAAAGGUCCAAGUCCCCCAUAGAGUAUCUUUUUUUAUUUGGGAGACCAGCAGGGUAUAUAUUCUAACUAUUAAUAAAUUGAUGAGACGAGACAAGUUUUUGAUGAAUGAAUGUAAUUUAUGUGAAAAGGUUGUAAAAACAUGCAAUCAUUUACUCAUUUAAUAUACGGAAGUUUACAAGUUUUAAGUGGUGAUGGCAGAAUCGGUUAGAGAUGAGUUAUGGUUGUGGAAAGGUAUUCGUGAGAGGACAUAUGCGGACCUUAUUUCAAUCACAAUUUUUUGGGUGAUUUAGAAGAAGAAUGUAAGAGCUUUUGAAGGGAUGGAAAAGGAUAAUGGUUUUGAUUUAGUUAAGAAUAGACAGUUUUGAAGCCUUGAGUUUUUAUUAAGUAGGUGAUGACAGAAUCGAUUAGAGAUGAGUUAUGGGCAUGCAAAGGUAUUAGUGAGAGGAGUAAAUACGCAGACCUCAUUUCAAUCAUAAUUUUUUAGGUGAUAUGAAAGAAGAAGAAUGUAAGAGCUUUUGAAUGAGUAGAAGAGGAUAUGUGGACCUCAUUUCAAUCACAAUUUUUUGGGUGAUUUGGAAGGAGAAGAAUGUAAGAGCUUUUGAAGGAAUAGAAGAGAAUAAUGGUUUUAAUUUGGUUAGGAAUAGAUAAUUCUGAACACUUGAGUUUUUGUUAUUGGGUCAUGCUUAUACUCUAUCGAAGAUUUAGGGAAUUUUAUUGACUUAUUAAUAGAUUUGCAAAUAUUCUAUAUAUGGGUUGAUACUCUUUUGGUGUCGUUGUUAAUAAUAUUUUUGAUUUGUUUAUUUUAGAAAAAAAAAGGACUCCCAUACAUAAAAGGUCAAGCAAAAUAUUG